rnacentral:rRNA from 1 species
UACACACCGCCCGUCACACCAUGGGAGUCAGUUGCUCCAGAAGUGGCUUGCCUAACCCGUAAGGGAGGGCGGUCCCCAAGGAGUGGCUGGUGACUGGGGUG